rnacentral:rRNA from 1 species
UACGGAGGAUGCGAGCGUUAUCCGGAUUUAUUGGGUUUAAAGGGUGCGUAGGCGGGCUUUUAAGUCAGCGGUAAAAAUUCGGGGCUCAACCCCGUCCGGCCGUUGAAACUGGCGGCCUUGAGUGGGCGAGGAGAAGGCGGAAUGCGUGGUGUAGCGGUGAAAUGCAUAGAUAUCACGCAGAACCCCGAUUGCGAAGGCAGCCUUCCGGCGCCCUACUGACGCUGAGGCACGAAAGUGCGGGGAUCGAACAGG